rnacentral:rRNA from 1 species
AGUGAACGCUGGCGGUAGGCCUAACACAUGCAAGUCGAACGGCAGCACAGUAAGAGCUUGCUCUUACGGGUGGCGAGUGGCGGACGGGUGAGGAAUACAUCGGAAUCUACUUUUUCGUGGGGGAUAACGUAGGGAAACUUACGCUAAUACCGCAUACGACCUACGGGUGAAAGCAGGGGAUCUUCGGACCUUGCGCGAUUGAAUGAGCCGAUGUCGGAUUAGCUAGUUGGCGGGGUAAAGGCCCACCAAGGCGACGAUCCGUAGCUGGUCUGAGAGGAUGAUCAGCCACACUGGAACUGAGACACGGUCCAGACUCCUACGGGAGGCAGCAGUGGGGAAUCUUGGACAAUGGGCGAAAGCCUGACCCAGCAACACCGCGUGGGUGAAGAAGGCCUUCGGGUUGUAAAGCCCUUUUGUUGGGAAAGAAAAGCAGCAGGUUAAUCCACCGAUGUUUUGACGGUACCCAAAGAAUAAGCCCCGGCUAACUUCGUG